rnacentral:tRNA from 1 species
UCCCCGAUAGCUGAGUUGGUAAAGAAUCUGCCUGCAAUGCAGGAGACCCUGGUUCGAUUCCUGGCUUAGGAA